UACGGAGGGGGCUAGCGUUGUUCGGAAUUACUGGGCGUAAAGCGCGCGUAGGCGGAUCUGCAAGUCGGGGGUGAAAUCCCGAGGCUCAACCUCGGAACUGCCUUCGAUACUGCGGGUCUCGAGUCCGGGAGAGGUGAGUGGAAUUCCUAGUGUAGAGGUGAAAUUCGUAGAUAUUAGGAAGAACACCAGUGGCGAAGGCGGCUCACUGGCCCGGUACUGGACGCGUGAG
rnacentral:rRNA from 1 species